ensembl:lncRNA
AGUUUGAGGAUAUUUUUGUAGAUUCCUUGGUGAUUUUCUACGUGGAAAAUCAUGUCAUCUGCAAACACAUCUUCCUUUCUGGUCUGUAUGACUUUUGUUCCCAUACUUCACUGGGUACAACUGACAGCAGUACGUUGAAUAAGAGUGGUCAGAGAAGACCUCUUUGCCUUGUUCCCAAUCUUAAGGGGAAAGCGUUCAGUUCUUCACCAUUAAGUAUGUUGGCUGUGGGUGUUUCUUUGCAAAUGUUCUUUAUUAAGGUAAGAAAGUGUUCCUCUAGUCUCAUUUUUCUGAGAGUUUUUGUCAUGAAUGAGCAUUGAAUAUUGUCAAAUGCCUUUUCUGCAUCAAUUUAUAUGCUCGUGAUUUUUCUUCUUUAGCCUGUUAAUAUGGUGGAUUCCACUGAUAGAUUUUUGAAUAUGGAAUCAGCCUUGCAUCCUUGGGAUAAAUUCCAUUUGGUCGUGGAGUACAAUUCUUUUUAUCUAUUGCUGAGUUCUACUUGUCAAUAUUUCAUUAAGGAUUUUUGUGUCUAUAUUCAUGAGGAAUAUUGAUCUGUAGUUUUCUUUUUUGUACUGUCUUUGUCUGGUUUUGAUAUCAGGGUAAUACUAGCUUCAUAAAGUGAAUCGGGAAGUGUUCCCUCUUCCUGUAUUUUCUGAUAAAGAAUAUAUAGAGACAGUAUUAAUUCUUCUUUAAAAACUUGGUAAAAUUCUCCAGUGAAACCAUCUGUAUCUGGAGAUUUCUUUUUAGGGAAGUUUUUAAAUUACAGAUUCAAUUUCCUUAACAGUUGUAGGCAUAUUUAGAUUAUCUAGUUCAUAUUGAGUGAGUGUUUUUCGAGGAACUGGCCCAUUUUAUCUAAGUUGUCAAAUACUGUCUGUUCUCAACAGCUUUUUAAAAUUCGCUUUCCUUUAUUAGUUCAUCUCACAUUGCAAUGAGAUGCUGCUUCCUCCACACACCUUCCCUGCCCUCAUUCAAAAAGCGUUUUUCCCCACCCAGAACCAGCAUCUUGGACCCUCAGGCAGAGCCCAGGAUGGGGCAGUCCCCAUGGAAACUCGCAGAGUUUCAGGGAACCAGCUGGCUUUGGGCUUCUCUAAAGUGUCCUGGAACUUGAGAGGGCUGGAGACCCUCCAAGUCACCUGAGCCUCCCUGGAGAGGCCUCAGAAGAGGGGAGGUAGGAGCCCCUUCCUCCAGACCAGGUUUGAGAAGACACUCCGGGGGCCCCAGCACCACUAGGUGGCGCUCAGAACACACAGUUGCUUGCAGGGCCGCGGGUGGAUCGGAGAAGUUCAGCUCAGCAGGACGGGUCUGUGGGGCAGAUUCUGUUCUUUCAGUGAGACAAACUCGAGAGGCUAGAGCCUGCAAGGACCCCAGGAGCUCUGGGCUGGUGGAGUUUGUAACUCUUUCUCAGACUUCCCUGCAAAUAUGCUACGGCUUGAGAGGGUGGUGCUGACUGGAGGCUCCUGGGAGAUGUCAGAAGCACCAAAAAGCAGCUGCUGAGACAAGAGCGUCCACACUGAGAGAAGAGCGUCCACACGGAGACAAGAGCGUGCACACGGAGACACGAGCGUCCACACGGAGACAAGAGCGUCCACACGGAGACAAGAACGUCCACACGGAGACAAUAAUGUCCACAGGGAGACAACAACCUCCCCACUGAGACAACAAUGUCCACAUGGAGACAAGAACGUCCACAUGGAGACAAGAGCGUCCACACGGAGACAAGAGCGUCCACACGGAGACAAGAGUGUCCACAUGGAGACAAGAGCGUCCACACUGAGAGAAGAGCGUCCACACGGAGACAAGAGUGUCCACACGGAGACACGAGCGUCCACACGGAGACAAGAGCGUCCACACUGAGAGAAGAGCGUCCACACGGAGACAAGAGCGUCCACACGGAGACAAGAGCGUCCACACGGAGACAACAACCUCCCCACUGAGACAACAAUGUCCACAUGGAGACAAGAGCGUCCACAUGGAGACAAGAGCGUCCACACGGAGACAAGAGCGUCCACACAGAGACAAGAAUGUCCACAUGGAGACAAGAGUGUCCACACAGAGAUAAGAACGUCCACACUGAGACGAGAGUCCACACGGAGACAAGAGCGUCCACACGGAGGCAAGAGCAUCCACACAGAGACAAGAGCAUCCACACUGGGACAACAAUGUCCACACGGAGACAAGAACACCCACGCAGAGACAAGAGGGGCCACCUGG